UCAUUGAAGAAGACGAUGAGAAGCAGCUUUUGCUUUGCACACCCGAUUUUGGGUCUGUAGCUCAGUUGGUUAGAGCGCACCCCUGAUAAGGGUGAGGUCGGCAGUUCGAAUCUGCCCAGACCCACCAGUUACCUGGUGAAGUUGGUCAGAGCGCGUACGACACCCGGAUACGGGGCCAUAGCUCAGCUGGGAGAGCGCCUGCCUUGCACGCAGGAGGUCAGCGGUUCGAUCCCGCUUGGCUCCACCACUUACUGCUUCUGUUUGAAAGCUUAGAAAUGAGCAUUCCAUCCUGAUUGAAGGGUGCGUGAAUGUUGAUUUCUAGUCUUUGAUUAGAUCGUUCUUUAAAAAUUUGGGUAUGUGAUAGAAAGAAAUAUAGACCGGGCACCUCUUUCACUGGUGCGUGUCCGGGCUAAGGUAAAGUUUGUGAAAUGCAAACUUUCGGCGAAUGUCGUCUUCACAGUAUAACC
rnacentral:tRNA from 1 species